rnacentral:rRNA from 1 species
GGGUGCGCACAAGCGGGUGGAUGCAUGUGGCUAUAUAGACAUUCCUGAGGAUACCAUNUUCCCUAGGGGAUAGAAUGCUGUCGAUAGAGUAUUUCUAGGAACUGGGCUCGGCGAUAAGCCAAUGGUCCGACAUGCANGGUGUGACAUUCGCUGUCGUCAGAUGCGUGGCCNUAAGUUGCUGCGGCUANGUGCACGCCACCUGAAGNGCAGCUCGCCUAUCAAGUGUCGUCCAACGAGGGUUNGUUNNGGGCUGUCCGAGUUCUAAACAUCGCGAGGCAACAAUGCAGAAAGAAUAUCNAGGUCAUCANGUCCAGUUACUGUUCACNGGGCCUUCCGUCCAGGUCCAACUGCACUGCCAAUGGUCGCAUAUCGGCAAUAGUAUCUACUAAUGAACCAUUUCUGCAUAAUCGUGCACNUUCAUGGGGUCCACAAGUCUGCNCNUUAGUUGUACAUCNGAUACNUAAUCGUGCCUGCAAANCAUGGUCCGCGNGUAUGUUCCCGCGCCCCUGUNUCCUCCCCGAACAGUAGAGUCUGCAUGGUAAAAUGUAGGGUGGCUUAAAGCUCAAGUACACAGCGGUCNAGGGUAUCUCGUGAUGAUAGGGUUAAGUCGUAACAAGGUAGC